AAUGGGCACAUUUGCUCUAGACGCACCGGUCACCAUCUGGGACAAACACCCGACUGGGGCUGCAGAGGCAGUGGGAAACUUUGCUGAGAUGGAUUGCAUGCUUCCUUUCCUUCUUACAGAGGGUCCUGAGCAUUGUUCAAACUUUUCCCUGAGACUCAGGCUAUCAUUUCUGGGUUGUAACACAGCUACCCUACAGACCGCCCAGAUCCUGGAGGCCCGAACCUUCUGACCACAGCCCUUUGCCCUCUGCCCUGUCUGGCUCUGCAGUGACUGCCUUAGCCUCAGCCCAUUCUGAUCUCACCCACGGUGCUUAGCGCUUUGCACAAUGGGACAACAGGCCCUGAUGGGAGGGCUGUACCACGCUCAUGCCCCCUGGAUAGGCCCUGCCUCCCCAGGGCUAUCAGAAGAAGAACAUGGCAGCCCUUCACUCCUCCAUCUGAACAAGAAGGCUCCCUGGGGAAGCAAUGGUCAUCACAAAGGUGGAAGAAGGCACCUUCCCUGAUGCCGGU